CGGAUUCUUCCGCACCUGAUUCAAACCGUGCCGGGAGCUCUUAACGCCCUGUAAGCAGGGGAAGUAGGAAGGCGGCGUAAAUGCAAGCAUGCGAUCCAUCUUGGAUCCCUUGUCCGCCCUCUCCCUGUUCUGGAAGCCGGACUACUCUUCCCCGAAGGUAGGUUCUGCGUUUCAAACGCCUUCCCCGUUCUCCAUAUGCCCAACCACGUCUCCUUCCCUGUUUUUAAUUUCAGCCUCCAUGGCUGCCGAUGGCUUGAGUUCUCCAAACUCGCGAUUUUUAAAACCCUAGAAACCCUCAAACCCUUCUCCAUCUCCAAUGGCUCUUCCCACUUUCUCCCUCCUCUCAUUAUCCAAACCAUCCUCCCCUCUUCUCUCCCUCGGGCGUCGAGCCUUCUUUUUCCCGUCAGCGCUUGGCGCCAAUGGCGAAAUCCACCAGGAAUCCCAUAAAGAGUCCUCCCGGGGUGGCGUUCUCCAGCUCCAAAAUCCGAUUUUGACCUCAGAGGUAGGAUCUUUUCGAGAUAAUCCUGUGAAAUUGCCUCCUGAAGAGGUGGUUGAAAAGGAGUCGAUGUCAUCCAGUGAUAGUGGGCUUGUUAGUUUACCAAAAUCCCGGGUUCAAAUUCUAGAGCCCAAGUUCCGAAUGACGUUUGCUGAGCUUAUAGAUGAGAGCGGAGUAGCACCAGUGUCGGUGUAUGGAGAUAUGGAGGUUUUGGUCACUGGAAUUCAGAAUGACUCAAGGAAGGUGAUACCAGGAAAUGUCUUUGUUUGCUGUGCCGGCUACAAAACCGAUGGGCACUGUUAUGUUGCCGAGGCCAUCGAAAGGGGAGCUGUUGCAGUGGUGGCUAGUAGAGAGCUUGGUAUAAAUGAAACAUUAGCCUGCAAGGCUCUUUUAGUGAUGGAGGAUACUAAUUCGGUGCUCCCUGUUCUUGCUGCAACCUUUUAUGGGCAUCCAUCAAAGAGCUUGCUUGUGACUGGGAUCACAGGAACGAAUGGUAAGACCACAACGGCACACUUGAUUCGGGCAGUCAGCGAGGCAUUGGGGAAGAAGACGGGAAUGCUGGGAUCAGUGGGGUAUUAUGUUCAUGGAAAUUAUCAGCUGGAAGCUCCCAACACAACUCCUAAUGCAGUCAUGGUCCAGGAACUGAUGGCAGAGAUGGCACGCAAUCGGACUGAGGCAGUGGUCAUGGAGGUUUCUUCUGUGGGGUUGUCAGUGGGGAGAUGUGACGAGAUAGAUUUUGAUAUUGCGGUCUUCAUGAAUCUGACAAGAGACCACCUGGAUUUCCAUGGGACGGAGGAGGAGUAUAGAAGUAGCAAGGCUAAGAUGUUUGCAAGGAUGGUCGACCCGAGAUUUCACAGGAAAAUUGUGAAUAUUGACGACCCAAAUGCAUCAUUUUUUAUUGCGCAGGGGAAUCCAGAUGUUCCUGUUGUGACAUUUGCGAUGGAGAAUAAGGAUGCUGAUGUGUACCCUAUGAAGAUUACACUCUCAUUGUUUAAGACACGGGUUGUGAUCAACACACCAAAAGGAAUGUUGGAAAUUUCUUCAAGUUUGGUUGGGAGAUAUAACAUAUAUAACAUACUAGCUGCAGUGGCUGUUGGGAUUGCAAUGGAUGCCCCAUCAGGGAAUAUUGUUAGGGGCAUUGAAGCAAUGGAUGGUGUCCCUGGUAGAUUCGAGCUCAUAAAUGAAGGGCAAAACUUUGCACUAGUUGUAGAUUAUGCACAUUCACCAGAUUCUUUUUCUAGACUGUUGGAUGCCGCAAGGGAACUAGGAGCACGGAGAAUCAUCACAGUAUUUGGAUGUGCUGGAGAAACUGACAAAGGGAAGAGACCAAUUCUGACAAAACUUGCUUCAGAAAAAAGUGAUGUAAUUAUUUUGACAUCUGGCAAUCCAAAGUCAGAAAACCAAUUUAACAUCUUUGAUGACAUGCUGGCUGGCAUUGGGUUGACCUUGCAAGAUUAUUUGCAAUAUGAUGAAAAUUUUCUCUACCCUGUUCUUCCAAAUGGAUGUAGGCUUUUCCUUCAUGAUAUUAGACGAGUAGCUAUACGAGCUGCUGUAGCCAUGGGAAAGGAAGGUGAUAUGAUUUUUGUCCUAGGCAGAGGUCAUGAAUCAUAUCAAAUUGAAGGUGUGAAGAAAAGAUACAUUGAUGAUAGGGAAGAGUGUAGAGAAGCCUUGCAACAUGUUGACGAGCUGCACAGGGCAAAAUUAGAUAAGCGAAUUCCUAUGGUGGUUAAUAGAGAUUUACCAGUAUCCUCUGGUGAGGUUGAAUCUUGGCGCACGUUAGCAGGCCGAGUGAAUGCUUGUUCUACAUGAUAAUAGCAAGCUUUAUGGACUGGAAUACAUUUGGCAAGUAGCUAAGUUCUUACCCUUGCAACUUUCCCCAUGAUUUAGAAGCAAGUAUUGAUAUAAUCAGAUAUACUUAUCAAGAUAUGCAUGAAGAUAUAUUUUUCUCUUAUGGAAAGACAUUUUUGUGUAUGAACCAUGAGGCUGCAUGACAAAGGAUUUCCUUAUCCUAUGCUGACUGCCAGUGUUAUGGCUUGACCAAUUUUCUGGAAAAUAAAGAUUACGAUGGAGCACUUUUCUGACAGUAGUCACAAACGCUUGCUAGAUCUCUAAUCAUGCCAUGAUAUAGACCCCUUGCUGACCAUUGAAAAGAUUGAUGUCUUCAUCAAACCUUGCAGUCAUGAGCAAGCUUUUGUGAUAUUUGGAAUUCUGAUAUAUUUAUCUUUUAAUCUGGGCUCCUGGCUGCACCUCAAGCUAAUUGCCUUUUUAUAACUUUCAUUUAUUUUGCCAUCUAUAUUACAACUCUCUGAAGUGGAUCAAACACUUGUUUGGAUCAUAGUGCCAUUGCAAUAUGGAUAAGAGUAAGGGAUUGAAACUAUGAUGACAUGUGUCGAGACUUUAUAUUUACAUCUAUAUUUGGACAUGUAUGCUGCGUUCCUGAAAUUCUGGUGUUCCUGAAAUACAAUGUACUGCAACUUACAGAUUAUAAUAAAACUUUCUUAAAUUAUUGCUACCAUUCUGGUGUUCCUCAUCUCUUAGAAAUUCCAGCAGGAAAUGGAGAAAUUAUAUCCUGCACUGCAUAUAUUAUGUGGCCGUGCAUGUAGAUAAUUACAGCCGCUCAUUUAUACAGGGGUGCAUCAAGAUGAAUGCUUUAUGAAUGGGUUCUAUAGGAAUAAGAGGUUGUGAUUAGCUGCAUGGAUAGCCACGUGGUGGAUGCAGAUGGGGUAUAAUUUCUCCAAGAAAUGCUAGACUUGCACGGCUUGUAUAGUUUCAAUAGUUUUAAAUGUCAUCGGCUUAGCAUCGGCAAAUGCCCUGUGUCGUCACCCCUGCUCCCACCAUCAUCACGUACUGAGCCGCAUAAUUCUCUUUUCUAGGUUGCCUCCAACAUCACCUUCAUCUAUGUUCAGUCCUGCAAAAAACACAUUAGAACCUUUUCCCUCCAAGAUUUACGUCUCUCUGCGAGAGCCUUAAUUUUUUUCGGCAAGUGUAAACUACAGUACAUUCUAUGAGGAAAUUUUUGAAGAUCUUUGUACAAUAAUCAAGGUUGUCAGUCUCGAAGGUUUUCGAGUUGGUGUGUCUAUUCUUGUCUAUUUCUUCCAACAGAUUUGGUAAAUAUAUCUGCCAAUUGGUGUUCGCUAGCAAAUAUAAAGUAGAAAUUAUCUUGGUUUGCACAUUCUCAGGGUCAUGGAGUACAGAAUUCGAAGAAAUGUGUAGCAGUAUGGUUGUCCCACCUCAUUUUAAAGGAACAUCAUGAUCAAAGCGCAUAUCCUUAAGCUUUUAACCAUACCAAUGUACAUGUUAUGGAUACUAUUGCUUUAUACUCUGCUUCGAUAAUUGAAUGAGAUACUACACUAUUUUUUUACUCUUCCAUGUAACUAAGUGGCCUCUAAUCAUAGUUCCAUACCCGUUAGUAGAGUAAUCUCUCUCUGGCAACUUUCUAAUCAGCAUCAGAAUGCCUAACAACUAGCGGUGGCAAUGUUUAACCUAUUAAAUUUGUUUCAACCUGUUGUAGAUCAGGCUUGAUUUACCUAUUUAAUAAAACAGUCGGAUUCGGAUAUGAAAUUUUGACUCGUUUAAUAAACUGGUCAAAUUUGGAUCGGUAGAUUUUUGACCUAUCCUAUAUCCAGCCUAACUCAUAUCUUGUCCGAACCAAUCUGAUAGCCACCCCCACCAACAAUCUUCAAUUGAUUAUUCUGGUAUAAUAGAAUACCUCUUCCAGGGAUAAAUUUAAAUAUCGUAAUGUCAUAUUCACAACAUUCAUGUGAGAUGUUCAUAGAGCGUGCGUGAAUUGGCUAGCAAGUCCAAUUGUAUAAGAGAUGUUGGUCCUUGUUAUUGUGAGAUAACAACAUGUCUUUCAUGCAUCCGAUAACUUCAAUGGGCUCUGCUCCCUUUAGAUCUGGAGAAACUCAAUAAGGGUCCAAAUAAGCUUUGAAGCAAGGUCAGCAAGUACAAAACAUAUCGUCGAGGUCCUUAAUGUCAAAAAUGGCCUUCAACUAUUUUAUUACAUUAUUUACAGUAUCUUGAUCAUCGCUUAUAAGAAUUAUGUCAUCUACGUAUGCAAACAUGAUGGUAGUUCUGGUAUCUUUCCUUGAGCCGGGCUUCUUAGAAAGCGAAUACUGGAUACUGCAAAAGUUAGUUUGUCAAACCAAGCUCUUAAGCAUUGGAUUUCAAGCCGGCAAACCGGGCCAUACUCCCCUUUCUUUGCAUGUCCAAGGGGUCUUCUUGAAGUUCCCCGUAUAGGAAGGCAUUCUUCACAUACCCUUGCUUUGCAGCUGUGAGACCCUGAAACUGGGCUCGGUCCAUUUGACCGGCCCUGUUUUAGGGCUUCUUCUCCUUCGCCUUUGAGGCCACCCGAAGAGGAGCCGCCACACCCAAGUCCCCUCCUGGUUGGGGGUUCUUCUUCCUUGGGCUGUCGGCCGAGAGAGAGGGAGAGAGAGAGAGUCGAGAAGCCAUGGCACGGGUCUUCCUCUUUCUCCAUUUCCGCCGAAAAGAAGCCGUUGGAUCUUCGCCGGGGCUGAGAUUUGGAGCUCUCAGCCUGACUAUGUUCUGGACCCUGCCAAUUGGGAAUUAUGCAUUGGCAAUUCUAGCCUCACCAUAGGGUAUAAGUGUGGUAUUCUGGCUCGCUCCGCAGGGUAUAAGUGUGGUAUUCUGGCCCACUCCGCAGGGUAUAAGUGUGGUUCUGUUUCUGGCCUAGCCACAGGGUAUAAGUAUGGUCAUAGUUAAAGGCUGUCGAGAUGAAUGUGAUUUAUUUUGAAUCAGAUUUACGAUUAUGCAUAUGAAUAUUUGAAAGAUACGGAUUUCAAUGAAUUUGUGUUUGAAAAAAAAUUGAUUAUGUCUUUAUGCUGAUUCAUCAUAAUUUGUAUUUUAUAUUUUAUGUUAUUAUAUGAAUUAUCUAGUUAAAGUAUUUAUUACUUACUGGGUUGUCUAGCUCAUUAUACGAUUUCUUACUGUUUUUACAGAUCCGAAGAAUUAGCUCGAUCCGGGGUUUUACAAUAUGGAAGAGCGAAUAAAAGAAUUAUGGCACAAGUUAUCUUAGAUUAGGUUUUUUUUUAAAUUGAUGUUUUAUCUUUAUUGUUCCGCUGCAUAUUUAGAACUAUGAGACUUUAUAAUUUGUGUCAGUCAAUGGAAUAAAAUUGCAUUUAUUUCA